AUUAAUAAGAUGAGGGCCCAUUGCAAUUCAGACUAUAAUUAAGAAGAACUGACAGGUUUAACUACCUAUUUUAAAUAUAAACUAGAAACACUGAAGUGGGGAUUUUUUUUUUAAUUGCAGAAGACAAUUGUGUAACUAUGUACUAAUAAGUAUGAAAGUGUUAAGUAAACCUUACCAUUUCUAGGGAAAAUUGCUAAAUUUCAGGGUAAAAUUCCUGCGAGAAAUGGAAGCCAUAAACAGACCAAUAAUUGUCCCGACGCUGACAGUGUUUUUACUUUAGCACCCUGUGAGCAAAAAUGGAGUGUGGUGAGCAGAAAAGAGGAACACGGGGUCCCCGAAGACGGGCCAACAUGAAAUCCCCCCAAAUCUAAACAGUGAAACAGACCUUAGCGGUUGUGUGGUUUGAGCACCUGCGAACAUGCUACAUGCUAUUUCAUGCUAUUCACAGUGAACAGGCGCAGACUGCUUUUCUCUCCAACGGUAACCUCUGCUCAUGUAAUCUUUAAGAAAAUUGACUAACUGACCAGCUCUAACUAUCUCCUUCCAACGUGGGGUAAGCCAGGAAAGACAAGAUGGAGUCUGAGAGCCUGAGCUAUCCUCCUGAGCUACGACCAUCCA